CCUACGGGAGGCUGCAGUGGGGAAUAUUGCACAAUGGGGGAAACCCUGAUGCAGCAACGCCGCGUGAGCGAUGAAGGCCUUCGGGUCGUAAAGCUCUGUCCUAAGGGAAGAAUACUGACGGUACCUUAGGAGGAAGCCCCGGCUAACUACGUGCCAGCAGCCGCGGUAAUACGUAGGGGGCUAGCGUUAUCCGGAAUUACUGGGCGUAAAGGGUGCGUAGGCGGCCCUUCAAGUCAGAGGUGAAAGGCUACGGCUCAACCGUAGUAAGCCUUUGAAACUGUAGGGCUUGAGUGCAGGAGAGGGAGGGGGAAUUCCAGGGUUGGGGUGAAAAGCGUAGAAAAUGGGAGGAAACCCAGGUGCGAAGGGGGGUCUCUGGACUGUAAAUGACGGUGAGGCACGAAAGCGUGGGGGGCGAACAGGAUUAGAUACCCUAGUAGUC
rnacentral:rRNA from 1 species